AGAGUUUGAUCCUGGCUCAGAUUGAACGCUGGCGGAAUGCUUUACACAUGCAAGUCGAGCGGCAGCGCGGGGGCAACCCUGGCGGCGAGCGGCGAACGGGUGAGUAAUGUAUCGGAACGUACCCAGUCGUGGGGGAUAACUAUCCGAAAGGAUAGCUAAUACCGCAUACGUCCUGAGGGAGAAAGCGGGGGACCGUAAGGCCUCGCGCGAUUGGAGCGGCCGAUAUCGGAUUAGCUAGUUGGUGAGGCAAAGGCUCACCAAGGCGACGAUCCGUAGCUGGUCUGAGAGGACGACCAGCCACACUGGAACUGAGACACGGUCCAGACUCCUACGGGAGGCAGCAGUGGGGAAUUUUGGACAAUGGGGGCAACCCUGAUCCAGCCAUUCCGCGUGAGUGAAGAAGGCCUUCGGG
rnacentral:rRNA from 1 species